GUUGAUAUUCUUGGCAAUGCCAGUAGUGCUUUGAGUAACAUGAGCAAGGGUAUAGCAGCACUGUCCAUGGACAAGAAAUUCAUUCAGGGCCGGAUGAGACAGGUACAUCAAUGAUUGUUCCUAUGUUCAUAUGCGUGUGGCAAAACUGGUGCGAGUUGUACCUAAAACAAAUUGCAAUGCUGCUGCUGUGUUUUCUCCAGGAUAGCAAAGGCGUCGAAGAUUUUGGUGAUGUCAUACGAGAUGGAGGUGGGGCUCUCGCGAAGGGAAUCUUCAGAGGUGUCACGGGCAUAUUGACAAAGCCCAUCGAGGGUGCAAAAUCUUCUGGUGUUGAGGGCUUUGUACAGGGAGUUGGAAAAGGCUUAAUUGGUGCAGCUGCUCAGCCAGUGAGUGGAGUUCUUGAUCUUCUGUCGAAAACCACUGAAGGUGCAAAUGCUGUAAAAUUGAAAAUAUCAUCAGCUAUAAUGGCUGAGGAGCAGUUGCUGCGUAGACGUCUCCCCCGAGCAAUUGGUGGUGAUAGCUUGAUCUAUCCUUAUGACGAGUAUAAAGCAGCUGGCCAGGUAAUUAGUUGUCUCUCUAUACAGGCCUUGAUGUAUUUGAAUAGCAUUUUCUGAAUGAUAUAUUUUCCUUUUUUUUGUUUGUGUGUGUGUGUGUGGGAUUAUGAAGGCUGUCUUGCAGUUAGCUGAAUCUGGUACGUUUCUUGGCCAAGUUGACCUUUUUAAAGUGCGAGGAAAGUUUGCAUCUACUGAUGCUUAUGAGGACCAUUUCAUACUUCCCAAGGGGAAAAUUCUCUUAGUUACGCACAGAAGAGUAUCGUUACUUCAGGUGAGACGGGUUUACACUCCAGUUACACUAUGUUUAACAAUUAUUCAGUCAAAAUCAUUAUAUGUUUGGUUUCAGGUACCGAUGAUGACCCAGAGAAAGUUCAAUCCUGCAAAGGAUCCAUGCUCGGUAAUCUGGGAUGUAUUAUGGGAUGAUCUUGUCACAUUGGAGACUACUCAUGGGAAAAAAGAUGCUCCUGGAUCCUUGCCUUCAAAGCUUAUUUUGUAUUUGAAGGCUAAGCCUGCGAAUUCGAGGGAAGCUGUUCAUUUGAUCAAGUGUAAUCGUGGUUCUGAUCAAGCGACUAUCAUUUACUCAGCAAUUGAUAAAGUCUAUAGAACCUAUGGCCCAAAUGCAAUCAAGGUACACAAAAUCUUAAAUACAAAUGACAUGUACACGUAAUCACACAGCAUGCCUAGUUCCAGACUAAAUAGAAAAUGGUUAAACUUCAUGUUAAUACCAAACUUUCUGUGGAGUGUGCUUAACAUUGCCCGAUUUAAUUUAGUUAAAUUUGGACCAAAGCUGAACGAUUUCUGUCAACUUUCUUUAGGAAUUACUGAGAUGGAAGGUACCAAAGCCAUAUGCCCCUCGCAAUACCAACCGUCACACUGUUCAAGAUUUAUCAUUUGCAUAGAUGAUAUUGAUCAUGCAAAAGGUCAAGAAACAUUAUAUACACUUGUGAUGUUCCAGAUGGGCUGCGUUUGAGUACCCAUACCUGCUAAAGCAAAGGUAUUGACACUUAACUGCUCUUGUGUUGCACACCAUCAUUUGAGUAAAAUCAAGCUUGUUUGAGUAAAAUUUGGAUUGCUAAAUGAUUAAUUGACCUUGUAGCCCCGUUGUUUCUCUAUCAUGAGCUUUGAGUGUUAUAAUUUUAAAACUGGAGCUAAAAGGCAUAUUCAGCUUGAGUUCUGAAAACUUCUUCCCUGACAACUGGUAUAAGUGGAUCUUGCUAGAGUUAUAUUAUGUUCCAUGUAUAGCCUGUAUAGUUCCCCGUAGUAUGAGGGGUUUCCUGCAUAUUUACCACCUGUACAUGUAUAUAUCCUGGGGGUAUAUAGUCUUUGGCCAUUGCCCCCAGGAAAUACAAGUUGCUAUUUCCCUAACAGAUCUAUCAUAUGGUAUAUAUGUGCUUGCAAGCACUGAGAAAUCAUAGAAGUUUUAGUCUUAAAUAUACUACUCCCUCCGAUCCGUAUUAAUCGUCGCAGCUUUAGUCCAACUUGGGAGCAUCUCCUUAUUUCUUUUUCUUGUGGUGUAAUGUUAAUCCAGACGACUAUAAUUCUUUGUCUGGUAUCAUCUUCCUGACAGCACUGCCACAUAAUUAAGUUUGAAGGCUCCUCAAAAUCUAGAAUGUAGCUGUGACAUUUUUUCUUUGAGGAAUCGUUUGUUUCGAUUGGUGUUGGCAUCAGAUAAUGUAGUAUGAUUCAUAUUGAGCUUAUGUUUUGCAGGUAUUAGUUGGCUUGCAGCCCGCGUAGUUGCUAAUGGAUUGAAGUCGCUAAAGUAAAAUAAGAUAUCAUUUCUUGCUCGAUUUAAGUGGUGAUUUCCUUCCACAGCUACGGCUCUUACCUACAGGUGGGUACUACUGGCAAAGGAGAACCUGUCCACUCCGGCUAGAAAAACGGAAAGCCUUUUUCUUACUAGUUUGAUUUCUACUCCAUUGGAUGCUCGAGGCUCAAGAAGAAAAUAUGGAAAAAACAACUUGUUUACAGGUAUAUGUUAGGAUGUCAGGAUAGCUGGUGGUGGCUCUUAUUGAUUACAUGUACAUAGCCUUUUUGUGAUGUGAAGCCAGAGCAUUUUCUUUAAGCAGAACUAGAUGACCCUUUAUGCCCUUUGCGCAAAAAUCAGUUGUAGCCGUGAAGACAAGUAACCUAUAACCUAUGAACAGUUAUGUUUUACGAAUGACCCAUGGAGGUGUUUGGUUCCCUACAUGACUAUGAAUAAGCAACAAAGAAGCCGAGCAAACUAU
rnacentral:lncRNA from 1 species